rnacentral:rRNA from 1 species
CCGCCGCCGUAACACAUGCAAGUCGAGCGGAUGAGAAGAGCUUGCUCUUCGAGUUAGCGGCGGACGGGUGAGUAAUGCCUAGGAAUCUGCCUGGUAGUGGGGGACAACGUUUCGAAAGGAACGCUAAUACCGCAUACGUCCUACGGGAGAAAGCAGGGGACCUUCGGGCCUUGCGCUAUCAGAUGAGCCUAGGUCGGAUUAGCUAGUUGGUGAGGUAAUGGCUCACCAAGGCGACGAUCCGUAACUGGUCUGAGAGGAUGAUCAGUCACACUGGAACUGAGACACGGUCCAGACUCCUACGGGAGGCAGCAGUGGGGAAUAUUGGACAAUGGGCGAAAGCCUGAUCCAGCCAUGCCGCGUGUGUGAAGAAGGUCUUCGGAUUGUAAAGCACUUUAAGUUGGGAGGAAGGGCAGUAAGCGAAUACCUUGCUGUUUUGACGUUACCGACAGAAUAAGCACCGGCUAACUCUGUGCCAGCCGCCGCAGUAAGAC